UGCAGAGACAACUGUACUGAGCCUGCCAGGUUCAACCCCGGCCUCCUCUUGCCUAGCCUCCAGUGCCCCCUCCUCCCAUAGCCCUGAGGCUGGCCUCAAGGUAGGGCACCCCAUCUCCUCUGCUAACUGCGGGGGUGGGGGGUGUUGAAGCCCGAGGACAGGAGGGGCAGGAAGGUGGGGUGGGUAGAGGGUCACCGGCCCAGCAGGGAGCCUCCUGGCCUCAUCUUGCAGAUGAGGAAGCUGCAGUCAGAGAGGGAAGUGGGCUGGCCUGGGUCACACAGUGGGCAGGGGGGUCUCCAGCGCUUGGGUGUGGCGCUGUCUGAGCAGCAGCUUGCUGGCGGGGAGGUCCCACAGGGCUGGGGUGAGAGGAGAGUUGGCCCAGGCCACAGCCCACCCCUCCCGAGGAAGCCGAGGACCAGGCGUGGUUGGCCAGGCUUCCCUGCACCACCUCUGGGGUGGUUCUGGGUGCGACAGCAGGUCAGGCCAAGCAGAGCCCCGAGGGCCCCCACCUCCCUGCAGCUGGGGCAGGUGGGCCUGACCAGAAAAUGAGGGCUGCCCCCCUUGGCAGGCCAGCCCAGUCCAGCCCCUGCCAGCCUCUCGGCCUUCCUUGGCUUGGCCAGACCAUUACUCCCCAGGUCUCGCCCUCUGUGCUUGUGCUUCUGCCGGGAAGGCUCAGUGGGCCCAGCUUGGCCUCUGCUCAGCCACCAUUUCCUCCAGGAAGUCCCCUCCCCCUCCUCCCUUUACCCCUCCAUACCCUCCAGCCUCGCUCUCGUCUGGGGUUCAACCAUGGAGGUCAACCAUGGCCCUUGCUAGAGGAGCUAGAAGGGCCUCCAGGAGCCUAAGGUCAAAGUCUCAUUUCACAAAUGGGAAAACUGAGGCGGGAGGGCGGCCUGCCUAGGCCACAUAGCGUGUGGCAUGUCACCCUGGGGAGUGUGCCUCCGUGGGCUCACCACAUUCCCCAUUCUCUAGGCACCCACAGUCAGAGGGCAGGGGCUCCGGAGCUCUCCUGAACGGGGACUACAGGACGCUGAUUCAGAGGCAGGCUGGGUGGUGAUGGUGACCUUGGGCUUCUCCCUGCUGUCCCUUGGCUCUGCCCAGCCAGGAGCCUUAGCAAGAGUUGGACAGGCCCAGUUCAAGGGGCAGGUGGCUGGCUAGCCUGCUCCAAGAGGGGUGAGGCCUGACCCCAAACCAGCCUACAGCAGGGCCUGUGGCAUUUCUCUGGGAAAGGGAGAGAGGAAGGGUCCCUGUCCUGGGUGUGUCACAGGAUUUCUGCCUGUUCUUUGCACCCAGAAUCCAGCUGUCCCUGAAGCCACCCUUGGGGCUCUGUGGCCCGGGGCAGCUCUUCAGGUCUGGUGUGUCCUCAAUGGCCGCCCUCUUUCCUGUCUGGUCCCCACCCACCAUUGCUGUCACUCUAUCCCUGCGACCCAGUUUCCCUCCUUGUCUCUGCCUUGGGGCAGGGAAUGCUGGAGAUAGUGUCCCCCUUUGAGGCAGGUCCAUGAUGGAUCGGGUGUCCUGGGUGGGGCGGGCAGGUGCGUCUGCUGGCUGUGGCAGGGGCCACAGCUUUCAGGUCUUCAAUGCUGCAGAUUAAGUUCCAUCCCCAGGGACCCCUGUUGUGGGGCCAUUGUGAUGGCUUGGGAACCACAGUGUCUCUUGGCCAGCUGGUGUGGCCCUGUCCAGGGCUGGGGCCCCAGCAUCCUCUGGGCUGUUUGGGCAGCCUCCAGAGAAGGAGCACCUGGGGGCUCAUGUCUGUGAACACCUGCUGCCACAGUGGACACAGGGCCUUGGGGAGCACGGCACCCCGCCUGGCUGAUGCCCUGUCUUCUGCCCAGGAGCACUGUUGGGAAAGCAUGGCUGCUUUGCAGCUCUAGGAGCAGAGCGUGGCUGGAUUUUCAGUGUCCAUACUUGGUCAGUGCAUGACCUCCAUCCAGGCGCACAGUGGCCCUGACACUGCCCUCUGUCCCCUCCCUCCCCAUCACUCAAGGCUUUCUGCAGCCGGGGCUGCUCUCCUUGGUGGUGUCCUCCCCAGCCCGCGCUCAGAUUGUAAGGCUGGCCUUGGCCUCCGCCCCUGACAGUGUUGGAGGACAGACAAGGACAGACAACUUCAGAUCCUAAUCCCAAGGCUUUGCGUUUCCCCCCUGAAGGGUCAAGGGAGCAUAGGACUGGAGGCCAGGUGGUCAGAUGCCUCCCAGCACCCAGCCUGGGCCCCUCCUUCUCCCCUCACCCCCUCUGGGGCCUAAGACCUGCUCUUUGGCCCUUGUGCAGAAGCCUGGUGUCUUCCUCUUGGUGCCCCAAACAGAGGCGGCCACAUAUUUUAUCAUCUAAACUGGGACAUUUUUGAGAGCCUGAGGGAGCUCUGCUACUAAUGACACUUGCACGACACUGGGUGUGUCGGUGACAGAACAAAGACCCCCAGUACAAAGAGGCAUGCUGGUGGCACACAAUCCGUGUGCAGGAAAAAGCACUGUGAUGGCUUGGGAACCACAGUGUCUCUCAGCCAGACGGUGUGGCACAGGGUGGCACCCAAGUGCACUUGUGUGUCCACAGGUGGUGGGGGGACAUGGCAUGCAGCCAGUCUGCACGUGGGGGCUGGCCAUGUCCAGGGACACGUGUCUCCCCAUGUGCAAACGCCUAAGCCCAUCCCAUCAGCCCCCAGAUGGCUCCUGCCCCAGCACAGCUGGAAACUCCGGAAGGAGGAGGCGGGUCCUGCUGGCCUCAUCCUUGGUCUCCGGAGAGGUGGCCAGGACAAGGUGGGAGGUGGAGGCCGGGCUGGCUCUGGGGAGCCAGGGCUGUGACAGCAACCUUCGACCGAAGGUCUGUCCAUGGGGAAUGUGCUGCCUGGAGAGGCGAGGCCCCUGAGGCUGCGUCAGCUGCUCUGGAGUCCACCCUGACCCUCUACCCCUCCUCCUCCAGGCAGCCUUCUGUGACCUCUGCCCUGGCCCUCAUUGCCUCUGCUGCACCCCAGGCCUAAGGGUGGCACUUCAGGGAGAGGAGGACUCAGCCCUCUCCUGAUCCCGAGCAUCUGCUGAAUGGCUGCUUCCCUGGGACUCCUGAGCGUCCAGUGGACAUAUUCCCUGAGGGCUCAUUACCCUAAGGAACAGCAGUCUGGGCCCUGGACAGACAGGGUCUGCUUUGAAGCCCGGCCUGGUGACCCCUCCAGACACAAGGGAGGGCCUGGGGACAAGCCAUGCUGAGGCCUUCCGAGGCAGUGGCUCGCUAGUAGGUCACAGGGGAGUCCUCAGGGUCACUCUGGCUUGUCCUGGGCAACCAUCAAACCCUCUCCUUCCUGAAACUGGAAUGUGAUGGAGAUGCUGGACCCACGUGCAAUGGUGGAGAUAGAAGGGGGACAAGGCACAGCCAGUCUUGCCGCUGGGACUCUCCUGAAAACGGAAUUCUACGCAGGAUCAGCAGGAUCCAAUAAAAGGGGUGUCAUGAGGGCACCUCAAGGAGGUAACGGAGGUGCAAAGUCCCGGGGUCCAAUGAGCUCAGUGGCUCUUGGGAGCAUUUGGGGGACACCUCCCAGAAGCCAAAGCUACGUUGGCACGGAUGAUCACAGUUUGAGGGGAAUAGGGGCUCCUGGGCCUGCGGUGGACGGGGCCAGGGCAGGGUUGAGAUGGAGGGUCUCUCCCUAGAAAGCUAGAACUUGAGGAGACCAGUCCAUGGGAAUGGGGGAGGGGAGGGAUCCCGUGGCUGGACAGCGGCAGGAGCUCCAGCUGGACCCAUAUCUGUUCUGCUCCUUGGGGAGCAGGGUCCCCUUCAGCCCCUGGACCCAGGAGACCUGGUCUACUGCAAGCCCUUGCCCCUGGACCCUCAUGGGUCAAUGAGCUGAAAUCCGAAACUCAGAGGUCUGUGGAGUAGCCCAUGUCGUGGAAGGUUGGGAGCUUGCCCAUGAGACGCCCAAGCAGGCCCGGCCUCCCAUCCUCCCGGGUUCUGACAGAUGAGCCUCUUUAGACCCUCCCAGCCCCAGGGCUGCUGUGACAAAGUGCCACAAGCCAAGUGCCUUUAAUAACAAAAAUGGAGCUGGGUGCAGUGAUGCACACCUGUGAUCCCACACCUGUGAUCCACACCUGGGGACCCAGCAACUCAGGAGGCUGAGGCAGGAGGAUCCCAAGUUCAAUGCCAGCCUCAGCAACUUAGCAAGAGCCUGCGUCAGAAUCAAAGUUUAACGUCAGGCGGGUGGGGAGGACUGGGGAUGCAGCUCAAUGUAAAGAGCUUUCCUAGUACCAUGAGGCCCUGGGUACGAUUCAAUUCAAUUCCUUUUCGAAGGAAGGAAAGACAGAAGGAGGAAAAGGAGGAAGGAGAAACACACACGAAUUGGUCCCCCACCCCGUGUCCUAGAGGACAGGAGUCCAAGUGAGGGUGUGAGCAGGGCCAAGUCCCUCUGAGGGCUGAGGGUGAAUCUGUCCCUGGCUGCUCUCUGGCUUCUGGUGGCUUCCUGGUGCUCCUUGGCCUAACUGCCUCGCUCCAUCCUGUCUCCAGCAGGGUCCUCUCUGAGCCUUGUGUCCUUUCCUCACAAGGACACUAUUCAUUGCACUUAGGACCCACCCUCCCUCCAGGAUGGCCUCAUCUCAAGGUCCUUAACUAGUUACGUCUCUGGAGGCCUUUUCUCCAAGCCAGAUCCCUUUCCAGGGGCUGGGACUUGAUAUAUUUUGGAGGGGGGGGUGUCACAGUACCCCCAAAUGUCAGGGACCUAUGAGGCCAAACUUCCCUCACUGCUAAAUCAGUUUCCCUAUCUGCACUGGUGUACGUGGGUGGGGGACACCGAUUGGCAUGGGGACCAAGAGCCUGGUCCCAGGCAGGGUUGGCGGCUCCAAGAGCAGGGAGCAGGCAGUGCCAGGCCUGCCCACCAGGAAUGUGACCUGUAGUCCCCACCCGCACAGCACAAAUGGACAGUUAACACCUGCCCCUGACUCCUGGCUGGUUCCCAGCAUCCCAGGCCCCUGCGAGGCAUGAGAGACAGAGGGUCGCAUACAGAUAGGCCAACAAUCCCUCCCCCCCAGGCCUGCCCUCCCCCCUGUGCUAAGCCUUCUUGCUAGCAGGGUGUUUUGGCCCUCAGGCCUGGGCAUGAGUGUGGGCAAGUGGCCACCAGGCCCUGGGCCAGCGAGGAGGCUGGGCUCCCAGCGCUUGCCCCCUCAGAUUGCCCCACCAGUGGGAUCACGCAUGCCAUGCCGGUGUCAACUCAGAUGAUCUUCCAGAGCUCUUUACAAGAUGUGGAAACUGAAAUUCAGCGGUCCUCCAGCCAGGAGGUGCAGCCAGGACUGGAAGCGAGGUCUGCGGGUCUCCACCUUCUGGGGGCUUCCUUGGCCCCCCAGCAGAGGCCUGGCAGCAGCUGCUCUGUCCCUCAGAAACCACCUGGGGGCUCAGCUUCCCUGUCUGUGAAAUGGAGUCCUGUCUGCCGGCAGGACUCCCAGGGCCAGGGAGGGACAUGGACAAAGGAGCUGAGGCCAGGUGUGCCUGGCCUGGUCUCAGGACCCCAGCUCAGCAGACACAGGUCAGGGCAGGCCCAGCCCAGCUGGCCUGCUGGCCAGAUCCCUCCAGGGCCUCUGUGGGGAGGUGGUGGGAACGGGCCUGCUCUCUGCCUCCCAGCCCCCACGUGCACCCCCCUGGGGCCUGGUCAGCGGCUCAGGUGUCCCCGUACAGCAGGUUCCUCGUCUCUGUGGAGUCUGAGGGAGGUUACUCCCCAGGGGCCACGGGCAGCUCUGUCCCUGCUGGUGAGGACAGCAGGCAGGCGGGGUGGCCGUCUGGCUGAGGGAGGGAGGGGCCAGUCCUGAUGCCAUCUCCUCCUGUCCCCCAGGAGGCGGGACCGCCCAGGUGUAUCCACAGGGACCUUCCCUGAGGCCCCUUCCCACGACCUCUGUGUCCGCCCCCCAUGGUGUCUGGGUCUAGGCUCUCUUAGUCUGUAGCCUGCUCGUCCAGUCUCAGGCCCUUGGGUCAGGCAAGGCCAGGGGGCUGUGGCUGCAGCUUGCUGACUCUCCACACCAGCACCUGAGAGUCUGCUGUCUCUGUUGCCCAGUUCUUCUUGGCAGGUCAGGAUCCCCCAAUUUUAUAGGCACUGAAAGGGAGGCUCAUUGUGUGUGUGUGUGGUGGGGGUAGUAGGGAGGCCCUGCCUGCAAACUGCCUGACAGCCACUUCUUAUCCACCGAGCCAAGCCUGUUUUGGAAUUGACAUUGGGACCUCCCUGGGAAACUGAGGCUGGGAGGGGUGACACUUUGCUCAAGGGUGUGCUUAUCUGCCUUUUGGAGCCAUAUUGUUGGAGCUUAAAUCUUGACUGUGCUGAGUGACCUCAGGUGAGGCACAUGACCUCUCUGUGCCCCUCCCCGCCUUUUGAUUCUCUCCAAGGCCCCUUGAUCUUCGUGGGGUCUGAGUCUGGCAGCACGGCCUGGUGGCUUUCAUUCAUCUGCAUUGCUGCAAGUUGGGAAACUGAGGCUCAGAGAAGGCAGAGCCCCGGACGAAGCCCAGCCUGGGUUUAGUGGGUGCUGAGGAGCUGGUGGGUGGAAUGGGCCAGGGGCUGGGGGU
rnacentral:lncRNA from 1 species